CCUUCGAUAGCUCAGUUGGUAGAGCGGUGGACUGUAGAGUGAAAAUACUGAAAGUGUAGACAUCCAUAGGUCGCUGGUUCAAAUCCGGCUCGAAGGA
rnacentral:tRNA from 1 species